AUUCAACCUGAGAGUUUGAUCCUGGCUCAGAACGAACGCUGGCGGCAUGCCUAACACAUGCAAGUCGAACGAGAAGCUAUCUUCGGAUAGUGGAAAGUGGCGCACGGGUGAGUAACGCGUGGGAACCUGCCCUGAGGUUCGGAAUAACGAUUGGAAACGGUCGCUAAUACCGGAUGAGCCCUGAGGGGGAAAGAUUUAUCGCCUUGGGAGGGGCCCGCGUCCGAUUAGCUUGUUGGUGUGGUAACGGCGCACCAAGGCUUCGAUCGGUAGCUGGUCUGAGAGGAUGAUCAGCCACACUGGGACUGAGACACGGCCCAGACUCCUACGGGAGGCAGCAGUGGGGAAUAUUGGACAAUGGG
rnacentral:rRNA from 1 species